AGAACGAACGCUGGCGGCAUGCCUAAUACAUGCAGGUCGAACGAACACUUCGGUGUUAGUGGCGCACGGGUGCGUAACGCGUGGGAAUCUGCCCUUGGGUUCGGAAUAACAGUUGGAAACGACUGCUAAUACCGGAUGAUAUCGAAAGAUCAAAGAUUUAUCGCCCAGGGAUGAGCCCGCGUAGGAUUAGCUAGUUGGUGAGGUAAAGGCUCACCAAGGCGACGAUCCUUAGCUGGUCUGAGAGGAUGAUCAGCCACACUGGGACUGAGACACGGCCCAG
rnacentral:rRNA from 1 species